GCUGAUCUGGUCCAACGGUAAGAUACAGGAUAUGUAUUCCUGGGAUGCGUGGUUCGAUUCCGGCGGUCAGCA
rnacentral:tRNA from 1 species